AAACAAAUACUUCUGCGUACCUUUGCGCAUGCGCGAUGCGGGAAAUUGGAAACAUCAUAACAAAAAUGGCGAACACCCGAUCUAAGUGGAAGGGUCCUGAAUCAGUUUUAACCGAGAGCAAGAAGAAACGAAUAAUCGAGAACGUGAUUUUAACUUCACAAAGACGAACACGUAUCUUAGAGACAGAGCAAGCAGAUGGCAUCAGUUAAAAAAGACCGAAGGGAUUAAAACAGACCCUCCUUUGGCCAAGCUAAUGCCUUGAACAGUUUUGAAAGCAAGCCUGAGAUCUAGAGCGUACGUAUAAUGUAGAUCUGGUCAUAAAGAAACUGAAGCCAAGCAAUGAAGAUGACCACAGGCGACAUGGAGUACAUGCAGCCACUACGGACGACACUAUUACUAGUCGCACUUAGAUAUCACAGGAUUUAUAACACAAAAGUUCUUGGAGGACAAAAAGUGCCGUACAAGGUGGAAAGGACAUACCAACACAUCCAGGGACUCAUCAAUCUGAUAGUGGCCAACAGAAUAACAGAUAGAACUGGAAUAUCUAGCCAAAACCCUUGCAUCAAAUAGAUCCCAGAAGAUUCAAACUCCUAGCCCAUGCUCCUCCACCAUCUACUGCCCAAAUGGUAGAGGAGAAGAAAUCCCAAUUAAGAUGAAUGGGAAUAAUUGACAUUUUGAGACUAAUCACGUUCCAGAGACUAUUACUUUUGAAUAUCUGUCCUUACGUUUAGUAGCUGACCUGGUCCGAAGGACCAAGGUGAGUAUGCCAUACUGAGGCGUCCGGCAUUCGUCUGUCAACAUUGUGAACACAAUAUUUGAAUAACUUGAGUAAAUGUCAGAAUAUACCAAAUUUAAUAAAACUUUAUAAGCAGCCAUAUAUCGACAAGAUCUCAGACAACUUCAAAAAUGGAAAUUAUUGGACAGUAGUUUUUGACAGUAGUUUGCAGAGUUAUUGCCCUUUGUAAUGGUCUUAUUAUUAACAUUUUUUUAGUUCACUGGUCAGAAUGGAAACUCUUUUAGAAAUUCUACUAGUCCUGAACAAUUAAAUGGAUUUGAUGAAAUUUGGUCAGGAGAAUUAUGUGGCAAUGUUAUAUGUUGCAUAAAUGAAGCGUCACCAUCAUCUGAGUGGCACCUUUCGGGGCAAAAUAAGAGAAUUACCUGGUAUAGCAAAAAAAAAAAGGAUUUAACUCAUUUUUUUUUUCAAGAA